GCGGUUGUCGUCUAGUCUGGUUUAGGACUUUAGCCUUCCAAGCUAAUGAUCCCGGGUUCAAAUCCCGGCGACCGCACCA
rnacentral:tRNA from 3 species